GAUGAACGCUAGCUACAGGCUUAACACAUGCAAGUCGCGGGGCAGCAUGGGGGUUGCUUGCCAUCCCCGAUGGCGACCGGCGCACGGGUGAGUAACGCGUAUCCAACCUGCCCUUCACCACGGGAUAACCCGGCGAAAGUCGGACUAAUACCGUAUGUUGUCCAUUGACGGCAUCCGAUUUGGACGAAAGGCUUGGCGGUGAGGGAUGGGGAUGCGUCCGAUUAGCCAGACGGCGGGGUAACGGCCCACCGUGGCUACGAUCGGUAGGGGUUCUGAGAGGAAGGUCCCCCACACUGGAACUGAGACACGGUCCAGACUCCUACGGGAGGCAGCAGUGAGGAAUAUUGGGCAAUGGGCGUAAGCCUGAACCAGCCAAGUAGCGUGCAGGAGGACGGCCCUAUGGGUUGUAAACUGCUUUUAUGCGGGGAUAAAGUGGCCCACGUGUGGGCUUUUGCAGGUACCGCAUGAAUAAGGACCGGCUAAUUCCGUG
rnacentral:rRNA from 1 species